AAAUAGAAAAUGCAUUAAGGUGCCUCUGAAAAGAGGAGAAUAGGAAAGCCGGUUCAAAUCCGGCACGGACCCACCACUGUAAGUAGUGACAAAUUCUAAAUAAACCACUGGAUGUCAAUGACAUCUGGGAAGGUUAGAAGGCGGAUGAACUACAAGUCAGGAGACCUGCCUUUAUGUUGAGAUUAGU
rnacentral:ncRNA from 2 species